rnacentral:ncRNA from 2 species
GCUUUAUCAAGAGCGGUGGAGGGACUGGCCCUAUGAAGCCCAGCAACCAGUAUUGUUUUUUAAUACAUUGGUGCUAAUUCCUACAGCUUAAGCUGAAAGAUAGGGG